GAGAUUCCGUUAGUAGUGGCGAGCGAAAGCGGACUAGGCCAGUAGAUUUGUUAAAAAAAUUUGAAUAGUUUGGAAAAACUAACCACAGAGGGUGAUAGUCCCGUAAAAGUAAUGUUUAACAAAUUUCUUGAGUAAAGCGGGACACGUGAAAUCUUGCUCGAAUAUAGGGGGACCACCCUCUAAGCCUAAGUACUCUUCAGUGACCGAUAGUGAACUAGUACCGUGAGGGAAAGGUGAAAAGAACCCCUAUUAGGGGAGUGAAAUAGAACCUGAAACCGCAUGCCUACAAUCAGUCGAAGCUCUUUUUAGAGUGACGGCGUACCUUUUGUAUAAUGGGUCAGUGACUUAAUUUGUAUAGCAAGCUUAAGCCGAUUAGGUGGAGGCGCAGCGAAAGCGAGUCUUAAUAGGGCGAUUAGUUUUAUGAAUUAGACCCGAAAACGAAUGAGCUUACCAUGAGCAGGUUGAAGGUGAGGUAACACUCACUGGAGGACCGAACCAGUUGACGUUGAAAAGUCUUUGGAUGACUUGUGGUAAGGGGUGAAAGGCCAACCAAAUUCCGCUAUAGCUAGUUCUCCGCGAAAACUAUUUAGGUAGUGCGUUGU
rnacentral:rRNA from 1 species